rnacentral:rRNA from 1 species
UACACUGGUAGGUGGGUAGAAUAUACCAAGGGGAGCGAGAGAACCCUCGUUAAGGAAUUAGGCAAAUUUCCCCCGUACGUUCGCAAUAAGGGGGGCCUCUGGUGGUGAGCUUAAUCGCAAAGCUGCUGUAGGCCGCAGAGAAAUGGCUCUUCCAACUGUUUAACAAAAACACAGGUCUCUGCUAAGUCGAAAGACGAAGUAUAGGGGCUGACGCCUGCCCAGUGCUGGAAGGUUAAGGGGAGAGGUUAGGCGCAAGCCGAAGCUUUGAGCCGAAGCCCCAGUGAACGGCGGCCGUAACAAUAACGGUCCUAAGGUAGCGAAAUUCCUUGUCGGGUAAGAUCCGACCCGCACGAAUGGCGUAAUGAGAGGAGCACUGUCUCAACGAGGGACUCGGCGAACAUUGAAGGACGUGUGAAGAUACACGUGACCCGCAGCGGGACAAAAAGACCCCGUGAAGCUUUACUACAACUUGCCAUUGAGUUAGGGCUAAACCUGUGUAGUAUAGGUGGGAGGCUUUGAAGCUGGGACGCCAGUCUCGGUGGAGCCACCGUUGAAAUACCACCCUGGUUUAUUCUUGGCUCUAACCUGUCGCCGUUAUCCGGCAUGGGAACAGUGGCUGGUGGGUAGUUUGACUGGGGCGGUCGCCUCCGAAAGCGUAACAGAGGCGCCCAAAGGUUCCCUCAGGCUGAAUGGAAACCAGCCGUUGAGUGUAAAGGCACAAGGGAGCUUGACUGCAAGACCAACAAGUCGCGCAGGGACGAAAGUCGGGCUUAGUGAUCCCACGGUUCAGAGUGGAAUGGCCGUGGCUUACCGGAUAAAAGCUACUCCGGGGAUAACAGGGUAGUCUGGUCCAAGAGUUCAUAUCGACGACCAGGUUCGCCACCUCGAUGUCGGCUCAUCACAUCCUGGGGCUGGAUAAGGUCCCAAGGGUUGGGCUGUUCGCCCAUUAAAGUGGUACGUGAGCUGGGUUCAGACCGUCGUGAGACAGGUCGGUCUCUAUCCGCUGUGGGCGUAAGGGAUUUGAGAGAAGCUGCCCCUAGUACGAGAGGACCGGGGUGGACGGACCUCUAGUGUGCCAGUUGUUCUGCCAAGAGCAUUGCUGGGUAGCUACGUCCGGCAGAGAUAACCGCUGAAAGCAUCUAAGUGGGAAACUCGUCUCAAGAUUAGAUCCCUCAUCCGUAUGGAGUAAGACCGCUAGAAGACUACUAGUUUGAUAGGCGGCAGGUGUAAGCGCAGUAAUGUGUUCAGCUUAGCCGUACUAAUGGUCGAGGGCUUACGUUU